CCACAUCAUAACUUCUAAAGGGUUAAUCAAAUACCACAUAUGAACCAAUUAGAGUGUCCCCAUUACAACAAAGUCCCAUGUGACCCUAAGCCACUCCUCUUUCUUUUGGUGUUGCUGAUGUACACUCCAAAACUUGGCAAUGAAAAACAACCAGUAGUCGUGUAGAGAACAACAGUGAAUCCAAUAGAAGAUGACGUCAGACAAAAAAAA